UACGGGGGGAGCAAGCGUUGUUCGGAUUUACUGGGCGUAAAGAGCUCGUAGGCGGUGUGUCACGUCGGCCGUGAAAACCUGCAGCUUAACUGUGGGCGUGCGGUCGAUACGGGCAUCACUGGAGUUCGGCAGGGGAGACUGGAAUUCCUGGUGUAGCGGUGAAAUGCGCAGAUAUCAGGAGGAACACCGGUGGCGAAGGCGGGUCUCUGGGCCGAUACUGACGCUGAGGAGCGAAAGCGUGGGGAGCAAACAGG
rnacentral:rRNA from 1 species